GACGAACGCUGGCGGCGUGCUUAACACAUGCAAGUCGAACGAAGUGGCGAACGGGUGAGUAACGCGUAAACAACCUGCCCUUCAGAGGGGGACAACAGUUGGAAACGACUGCUCAUACCGCAUACUGAAGGAGGGGAUUGCGUCUGAUUCGCAAGUUGGAGGGGUAACGGGCCACCAAGGCGAUGAUCAGGAGCCGGUCUGAGAGGAUGAACGGCCACAUUGGGGCUGAGACACGGCCCAGACUCCUACGGGAGGCAGCAGUGGGGAAUCUGCCGCAAUGGACGAAAGUCUGACGGAGCAACGCCGCGUGAGUGAUGACGGCCUUCGGGUUGUAAAGCUCUGUUAAUCGGGACGCGGUACCGAAAUAGAAAGCCACGGCUAACUACGUGCCAGCAGCCGCGGUAAUUC
rnacentral:rRNA from 1 species